rnacentral:rRNA from 1 species
GGGGAAUAUUGGACAAUGGGGGGAACCCUGAUCCAGCCAUGCCGCGUGUGUGAAGAAGGCCUUAUGGUUGUAAAGCACUUUAAGCGAGGAGGAGGCUACUGAGACUAAUACUCUUGGAUAGUGGACGUUACUCGCAGAAUAAGCACCGGCUAACUCUGUGCCAGCAGCCGCGGUAAUACAGAGGGUGCGAGCGUUAAUCGGAUUUACUGGGCGUAAAGCGUGCGUAGGCGGCUUUUUAAGUCGGAUGUGAAAUCCCCGAGCUUAACUUGGGAAUUGCAUUCGAUACUGGGGAGCUAGAGUAUGGGAGAGGAUGGUAGAAUUCCAGGUGUAGCGGUGGAAUGCGUAGAGAUCUGGAGGAAUACCGAUGGCGAAGGCAGCCAUCUGGCCUAAUACUGACGCUGAGGGACGAAAGCAUGGGGAGCAAAC